CGGCCUGCCACGUGGAGCCUGUUGCGGGGAGUGAUGGAGCCACGCAGAAUCCAUCGCAGGAGGUGGAGCAGAGUCAUGGCCGUUAUUGUGGCCUGUUAGGGAGUCUAGGCCUGUCGACCGAAGCUCAAUUGAAGUGCCUGGCAGAGAGAGGUGGCUAUCCAUUUGAAAGGAGCUCGGAUGUUGCUGGCGGGCCAUCUACCGUUGGGUGCCUCGAGCAUUAGUACUGUAGGCGAGGGCCAUCUGUGGUUGGAGCCCAGUUAGAGGCUUUCUAUAGAUGAAG
rnacentral:lncRNA from 1 species